rnacentral:lncRNA from 1 species
CGACUCGCGACCAAAAAGCGACCUAAGGCGACCGAUGUUCACACCGGCAAGCCCGGCUGCAGCGCGACCCGCAAGUCGCAAUACCAGAGAUUAUCGUUCUCCGCGAGAACUCUAGGAAUCUGCGCAAAAUUUAAACGCGAAGCCG